CCUCAGAACGUGACUGUAUUUGGAGACAGCACCUUUAAAGAGGUAAUUAGGUUGAAAUGCAGUCAUUAGUAAUGGCCCUAAUUUGAUAGGAAAGCUUUCUUUAUAAUAAAAGGAAUUUGGACACAGAGGGAACACCAUGAGAAGACAUCUCCAACUACAAGCCAAGGAAAGAGGCCUCAGAAGAAACCAUCACAGCUGGACACCUCAUUCUUGUGCUCCUGGCCUUCAAAACUGAGAAAAGGGAAGUGACUGCAGAAGCCUCACCUAGGGCACUUCAGACCAGAGUUCCUCAUCAGAGAGCUCUGAGCCCAACUUCUCAGCUGGGAGCCAUGUGCAGAAGUGCUGCACACGACACCAUGAAGACCACAGCUGCAAGCAGUGUGCAGAGAGGCUGUGCGGGACACCUCAGCCCCGAGCUGGUGGGCCACAUGCAGGAGCGCUGAGCACAGCACUGGGGUUCCAGAUGGUGGCCGUAUGCGCUGACGCUGCGCCCAGCACUGCAACCAGAGCCCUGAGCAGCACACCUACACUCACCCUCUCAGCCUCUAUAAAGCAACCCCAUCCCACCACUGGUCGGGGAGAGCCUGUGAUCUACAGCAGGAGCCUCCACCUCUCCAUUCUCUGAUCAAGGCUUUCCUUUGCCUCAGAACCAAACUCAGGCUUGUUCUACUGGCAUGAGCAACACCAGGCAGGAGGAUACUUGUUGGCAUGGGACUCAAGAAUGUCAGUAACUCCUUAGCCGAUGGCAAAGCAUUGAACUAACAAUACGUUCAGGCUCUCCCCUGUUUCACUGAAACCACUUUUGGAAUGAAAUACUCCACUAGAUGAUAAAUACUCCACUAGAUGAUAUCCUUGGGCCUGAUACUGUCACUGCUUAAACUGGCUGAAGAGAGUGAGUUCCCCCCAGCCCCUACCCCGACCUCGUCCCCAUCCUAUAUUGUAAGACCUCUGAAAUCUCCACCUUCCUCAGAGCUUAUCCAGUCCCAGGAUGCCAGCCUUGGGUACCCAGCCCUCUGC
ensembl:lncRNA